rfam:Giardia lamblia ATCC 50803 SC_586 genomic scaffold, whole genome shotgun sequence.
GCAUCAAUGGUUUAGGGGUAGAAUGCUUGCUUGCCAAGCAAGAGAGCCGGGUCCGAGUCCCGGUUGAUGCA